GCUGCAAAAUAAAAACUGGUUCUACUCUGUAAUGCCAAGUAUUGUGAUUGAACUAUCAUUUAUAUUUAGGACUAGGAGAGAGCUUCAAGAUAGGUUACCAGGAUUUUCCAGUGGUCUCCAACAAUGAUAUUGCGCUCAAGAUUCCACAAGCCUUCUGAGGUGAAGAUUAGAAAACGACAAAUGGGAUGCGGUAAAAAUAAACAGAAAAAAUCAACUGCAUCUCAGAUACCAGUGAACCAGGAAACUACAUGUAAAAAUCAAAACCUAAGGAAAUCAUCAAGUAGUGAAGCAUACCAACACCGUGACAGAAAGCAAUGUUACAUACUGACAAGAGACUCAAAAACUCUGCGUUUUGAUUUAGACGAGCAUGGCGAUUGUAAAAUAUCAGUUGAGGAUUCACAAUCCAGUGACGAUAUUGCAUGGUUAGACAUAUUCACAAGCAACGAACAGAAUAAUUGUGUUCCGAUGGCCAGAAACAGCACUAAAAAACAUUGUAAAAAUUUGGUGACAAUGACUCAGCGAUCAAAAAAUAACUUUCUCCUGUUGGGCAAGAAUAAGAAACAACUGUAUCUGAAGGUCUUGAAUCCAAAUGGAAAGGCAUCACGGUGUCAUAUGGUGGCAGGACACAGCAUGGAAGGGAUUACAGGUGGAGCUCCUGACCUCAGACAGUUGACUGAAGAAAAAAACCAGCUGUUCAUCAUGCAUUACAAACAAGAAGAUUCAGUUAGGUUUCAGUGUUAUACGGACAAGAACUACUACCUUCAUGUCAAUAAGGACUCCGUUGAUCUAUGCAAGAUGAAAGAAACAGAUGCUGAUACAGGAAAAGACUUCUAUUUCAAGGUGGAAUAUGUGUGAUACAUACUUCCCCAGGCCUUUGCAAUGUCUCAAGUAUGUACACAGCCCCUGAAAUGAGCCAAUACAAAAUAGAAAUGAAGGGGGAUUGAGAUCAUGGCAGGAUUAAGUUCCUUAGUUUUGUAUAAAGUUUUUCUGUAGCCUCUGUUUCGUGGUUCACUAUUUUUGAUGUGUAAGGGAGAAGUCAUUUUGUGUUUUAAAUAUACUGUACCUGAGUGAAGUAUGUAACUUAGAGGGGGGGAAUGGCGAGCAGUGUUUCAGAAAAAAGCAAUUUCUUGACAUUAUAUUUAUACUUUAAAGGAGGCUGAUUUGGGAAGUGGGGAACAUAACAGUAGGGGCCCAAAAAUAGGAAAAGAGAAUCACAGAAAAGAUAAAUAGAAAACACUUUUAAUAUUACAUUUUGUAAUAAUGAACUAUUUCUUAGAUGUCGCAUAUGAAUUCACCUACAUGUAUGUGAAUGUGUGUGUACAAUGUACUUACUAUACUGAGGCUUUGCUGCACCAGCCAUUCUGCCCCCACCCUGGAGAUCUGAAAAAAAGAGCGUAAGGACAGAGGGCUAGUAGUUAAAGGCUAACAGCAAAGCUAUUCCACCUUCUCUACCACCCCCCCAAGCUUCUCCAGCCCCCAUUCUUCAUCUUUCCACCCCCACCAAAAAAAAAAUAGCUGCAUGGCCUGAGAAUUCCACUGCCUUAGCAGGAAGAGGGCAGAUUGGUCAUCAUGGAAGGAUGUGCUCCCUGUGAACUUUGCUCUGGUCAAUUCCCAACUCAAUCCUAGAGGGAAACACAAUAGAGAAGGAAAUCUUUAGCUCAGGUACAGAGCAAAGUACAAAACAGUACAAACAAAAAUUGAAAUAAGUGUUUGAAUAAAUGAAUUCAAAGAAUAAACUCA
ensembl:lncRNA